rnacentral:rRNA from 1 species
AACGAACGCUGGCGGCAGGCCUAACACAUGCAGGUCGAGCGAGACCUUCGGGUCUAGCGGCGGACGGGUUAGUAACGCGUGGGAACGUGCCCUUCUCUGCGGAAUAGCCACUGGAAACGGUGAGUAAUACCGCAUACGCCCUUCGGGGGAAAGAGUUUAUCGGAGAAGGAUCGGCCCGCGUUAGAUUAGAUAGUUGGUGGGUAACGGCCUACCAAGUCUACGAUCUAUAGCUGGUUUUAGAGGAUGAUCAGCAACACUGGGACUGAGACACGGCCCAGACUCCUACGGGGAGGCAGCAGUGGGGAAUCUUAGACAAUGGGCGCAAGCCUGAUCUAGCCAUGCCGCGUGUGUGAUGAAGGUCUUAGGAUCGUAAAGCACUUUCGCCAGGGAUGAUAAUGACAGUACCUGGUAAAGAAACCCCGGCUAACUCCGUG